UCGCACCUAAAAGCGUUUUCUCGUCGGCUCGUUAAAUGCUCUUGAAAAUCGUAGAUGUGUGCCAGAGCGAAGCUCAGUUGCAAGUGAUACGGCCAUUUUUUGUGGCAGAUAUCCAUAACGCUGACUACAAGU
ensembl:snoRNA snoRNA:Psi28S-3316a snoRNA:Psi28S-3316a